rnacentral:snoRNA from 1 species
AUAGGAGCGGUGAUGAUUUUGUGGACUAGAGUUUCCGAUACUACCACGGUAGUAUUUGACGACCAAACCCUUGGCUGUCUGAGCUCCUAA